UGCACGUAACAUGGUGCUCCCUCAUACCAUCGCACAAUCCUUGUGUUUGCGGCUGAUUUUGUGAGAAGCAUGUGUCUGCAGACCCGAAGGCCGCAGUUUCUGACCUGCAGUUCUAGAUCUCUUCUGUCCGGAAACAGCGCCAUCUAUUUCCUUGUCCGAGUCAACAUGGAUGGCAAUCGGAAAAAACGGAGCAGUGGGAUGCAACUGUGCGGCGCCCGGGGAGCUUUCUGGGACUAAGGGUCUUGCUCAGGGACCCAACGACUGAGACAGAUUGAACGGGGGUUCGAACGGGCAACCCAUUGGUUACAUGAUGAACUCUUACAACCUUAGCCAGAGUUGCCUCAACGGAUUUGCUCUCUUGGUAUUCUCUCCAUGAGCUUCAUGAGUUGCAGAAAAACCUUGCCCAUAUUGGACAGAUGCAGGACCUGUUGCACAAACGUUCACUGUCCCUUUUGCAGCUCAACUUUAUUUAAUCCUACACAGUUGGGUCCGAACAGCAGCUGGGCAUAAACAAGAUAAAAGAAGACAAGGAUAAGAAGAAAGCCUGAUGGCUGCAGGAUUGGAGGAUCUUCAAAAUCUCUCUGUCCUGCAUUGAACAGAGAGGAGCCGUCCACAACUAUGUUCCGAUCCAUCAAGGUGCCACGAAGCAGAUGACCUGAGAUUGCUCAAUCUCUCCAUCACGUCCCUCUGAAUCCAUCAGGGACACAUGUCUGAACUCAUGUUUGAAUUUCAUGAAGUCAUGAUGUUAUUAUAAUACAAAGUUCAUCAGGACUUGUAUUAGCUGUGGAUGUCACUACAUGUAAUAGAUGUAUGUGCAUGUUUUAUAAUAGAUGGGUAAACAUGCAUUAUUAAAAUUGUUUGCUGGAUUUCUCA